GUGACUACUUCAAAUUAUUAUUAAUCGUACGUUGCGUUAAUAGUAAUUUUAUUUCUUUUUAAUGGAUCGAAUAAAAAUGUGUGCCUGUGUGUGUGUAUGUGUGUCAAAGAGAGAAUUAUAUAGAAAUGACGAGAAAGGAUAGAUCUCUUAACGAGUGAGAGAGAGAGAGAGAGAGAGAGAGAGAGAGAGAGAGAGAGAGAGAGAGACAGAGAGAGAGAGAGAAAAAAUUGAAAGGCAAUCUGCUAUACCAUAGUAGAUUAACCAUUCGCGCAUAAUGCUACCAUGUUAAUUAUACUAUUAAUUAUUUAAAAAAGAAGGCUAAGAUGUAACUAUUAGCGCGUAAAAUCUAGAUUAUGAGAAUUGAGAUGGAAAAUAAUAAGAUAUAAGAACGGGAGGAGAGAAGAGAAGAAGAAAGAAAGAAAGAAAGAAAGAAAGAAGGAAGGAAGGAAGGAAGGAAGGAAAGAAGAAGAAAGGAAAAAAUCAAUUCAUCGGUUUGACGGUUGCUGCUACUUCUGCUACUGUUGAUGAUGACGAUGACAAAGAUAAUGAUAACAAUGAUUAUAUGAUUAUGAUAAUGAUCCAAUGAAACAGAGUCACUGAAUAGAAAAAUUUAAACUAUUGCGAUUAUUACAGAGUAUAUAUAUAUAUAUAUAUAAAAGAUAUAAUAUAUAUAUAUAUAUUAUAAAUAUUUUAAUCGCGGUUUUACAGAUAUACUAUAUGAAUGUGAGGUUAAUUUCUAAGUAACUUAGCAUUAAGAUGAAACACUUUUAUGGAACACCAUGCACACGCAUUCCUCCUCUCACCGACACUUCAUUCUACGUACAUACCUGAAAAAAAGAAAAGAAACUCCGCCCCUCCCCUCCCCAUCCAUGCGCGCACACACACACACACACACACACACACACACACACACACAUACAUACAUACAUACAUACGUAGAUUACGUAUUAUACAUUUAUACGAUUACAUACACAUCAGAUGCAGGAUUAUCACAUAUAUAGAAAAAAAAAA